GAGCUUGAUCGUGGCUCAGGACGAACGCUGGCGGCGCGCCUAACACAUGCAAGUCGAACGAAGCGCCUUGGACAGAUUCUUCGGAUGAAGUUUUUGGUGACUGAGUGGCGGACAGGUGAGUAACGCGUGGGUAACCUGCCUCAUACAGGGGGAUAACAGUUAGAAAUGGCUGCUAAUACCGCAUAAGCGCACGGUACUGCAUGGUACAGUGUGAAAAACUCCGGUGGUAUGAGAUGGACCCGCGUUGGAUUAGCUAGUUGGCAGGGUAACGGCCUACCAAGGCGACGAUCC
rnacentral:rRNA from 1 species